rnacentral:lncRNA from 1 species
GAGAGCUGGCCGACUGCCCUCCAGGUGAUUUUUAUGCCCACUAAAGUCUGAGCAGCAUUGGCCUAGGACACAGCUGUUUAAAAAAUUCUCCUGCUGAGAUAGACAAGAAAAAUAAAUUUGGAUGAUUUCUGGACUUUAGAUUCCUUAACCUUUAACUCACAUUGGUAAGUUAUUUGAUUUUGAACUUUAAUUGGCAAGAGUAAUCAAUUUUUGGAUUUUAAUUUCUCCUCAUUAAUUUUAAUAAUAAGAGGGGAUUUCUUGCCAGGUGCAGUGGCUCAUGCCUGUAAUCCCAGCAUUUGGGAAGGCUGAGGUAGACGGGACCUGAGCCCAGGAGUUGGAGACCAGCCUGGGCAACAUCACGACAUCCCAUCUCUACAAAAGAUUAAAAUUAGCCAGGCGUGGUGGUAUGUGCCUGCAACUCCAGCUACUCAGGAAGCUGAGGUGUUUGGGAGGAUCACUUGAGCCUGGGAAGGCGAGGCUGCAGUGAUCCGCGAUCGCACCACGGGACUCCAACCUGGGUGACACAGCAAGACUGUCUCAGAAAGAAGGAAGGGGUGGAUUUCUAUUCCAAUUUGGAGCUGUUCUAACUUGUAGCAUUUUAUAUAGGAAUGUCUUCAUAUUGUCAUUUAGUCUCAUCACAAACCUCUGAUAGACCAUACGGUUGCAUAUAAUUAAGAUAGGAAAUAAAAUAAUAGGGGGCGAUUUUCAGUCUUGGGGAUAGUCAUGGAAAUAAUUUAAUG